GCGUUGAUGGUGUAGUGGUAACAUUGAAGCUUCCCAUCCCAUAUAUCCAGAUCCAGAGGCGCCAGGCCAACCGGGUUAGGACUUGGGGACAUGCUUCAGCCUCGGGUUCGAUUCCCGGUCAACGCA